UGCCAGGCAGAAGCGGUAGAGCCAUGGCUGUCACAGUCCGAAGAGGAUCAAGGGUCCGACCAGAGAGAGAAGAUAGUUAAUGCCCUCAACCGCCGCUUGUUUGACCCCCCUGCGUUACCUGGAGACCGGAGCUUCAAGAAACCUCUACCUGUUUCCACCAGGCAAGACUGGGGUUUUGAAAAUCACUCUGUCUUCUAGAAACAUGCCUGCCUUUCCAUGCUUCAACAAGGCAAAAGCACAACAGAUGAAAAAGCAAGCAAAUGGAGCAAAUGUGGGAUUGACACAGAAAUGAAGACUGCAGAUGAAUGGUAACAAUAUAUUCCCAUCAAGGAAGAUAGGGAAUGAUUGAUGAAUGAAUAACUGAAUGUCUUCCAGAAAUAGCAAAUGAAAAUUUAAAGAAUCAGAUACAUUUAAAGAGAGACUUGGUGACUUGGAAUACAUGUCAUGAAGAAUUUCCAAAGAUGCAGCAGAAAGAGACAAAGAUGCAGAGAUACUAAUAAAAUGUAUUGAGAUAUGUUUAAAAACAUGAAAUUGUACACUUUAAUUUCUAGAAAUAGAAAUUAAAAAGAGUAUGGACAACAUGACCUAAGUUGUAAAUAUGAAUUUUUUAAGGUGACUAAAGUAAAUGAAUCCUCAGUUAUAGAACAAACUAUGGAUCAUCACUCAAAACCUGAAAAAAACAUCAGCCACAAGGUUUACAAUGAAAGAUUUAGACUAUGCCGUAACUUGUCAUCAUCAACAUUACAGAGAGAGUUAUUGACAAAUCAAAAAAACAAAGCUAACCAAAACUGCAAUUCUAUCUCUCACAUUGCUGACAGGAAAACAAGAUGCUAUAGCUGCUCUGAAAAUCAUCAGGCAUUUUGUAUACAUAUAAACAAAUAUAUUCUUUUUCAUGGAAAAAUAACCUUUAUUAUUUAUCACAUGCUAUUUGUUGCUUAGUGCACAAUCUUGUCUCCUACCCCCUGCAAUCCUGUCCCAUAAUUCCAACAAAUCUCUCCAGCCCUUUCUCUAACUUCUCUCACUCUUCCUCAUUCUCUACCUCU